rnacentral:misc_RNA from 1 species
CCCAACUAUCCCUAUUAAUCAUUACGUCGAUCCUAGAAACCAACAAAAUAGAAUCAAACGUCCUAUUUCAUUAUUCCAUGCUAAUGUAUUCAAGCGUGCGCUUGCUUUAAACACUCUAAUUUUUUCAAAGUAACAGUCCUGAUUUCCCACGACACCAAAUUAAUGACAUCGCGGUUCUUCAGAAGGGAGGAACCAAUAAUACCAGUGCGUACCGAGGCACGACCGACAAUUUGAUCCCGAAAUUCAACUACGAGCUUUUUAACUGCAACAACUUUAAUAUACGCUAUUGGAGCUGGAAUUACCGCGGCUGCUGGCACCAGACUUGCCCUCCAA